AGGGCUGGAGAUGUCGCUGGGGA
rnacentral:miRNA from 1 species